UCAAACUUGGUCAUUUAGAGGAAGUAAAAGUCGUAACAAGGUUUCCGUAGGUGAACCUGCGGAAGGAUCAUUACCGAGUUAGGGUCUCCCACGGCCCGACCUCCCAACCCUCUGUCUAUAUCUACCCCAUGUUGCUUCGGCGGGACGGUCUCCCCAGACCGCCGGAGGGUGCCAACCGCCCCUCUGGAGAGUCGCCCGCCGACGGCCCCAUUUCUACAAACUCUUGAACACAACCGUGACGCCUAAAUUACCUUUUGUAUAAUUGCAAAAAAAAAACAAAACUUUCAACAACGGAUCUCUUGGUUCUGGCAUCGAUGAAGAACGCAGCGAAAUGCGAUAAGUAAUGUGAAUUGCAGAAUUCAGUGAAUCAUCGAAUCUUUGAACGCACAUUGCGCCCCUUGGUAUUCCAUGGGGCAUGCCUGUUCGAGCGUCAUUUGUACCUUCAAGCUUUGCUUGGUGUUGGGUGUUUGUCUCGCCUCUGCGUGUAGACUCGCCUCAAAACAAUUGGCAGCCGGCGUAUUGAUUUCGGAGCGCAGUACAUCUCGCGCUUUGCACUCAUAACGACGACGUCCAAAAGUACAUUUUUACACUCUUGACCUCGGAUCAGGUAGGGAUACCCGCUGAACUUAAGCAUAUCAAUAAGCGGAGGAAAAGAAACCAACAGGGAUUGCCCUAGUAACGGCGAGUGAAGCGGCAAAAGCUCAAAUUUGAAAUCUGGCUCCUCUGGGGUCCGAGUUGUAAUUUGCAGAGGAUGCUUUGGGGGUGGUCUCGGUCUAAGUCCCCUGGAACGG
rnacentral:rRNA from 1 species